rnacentral:rRNA from 1 species
GAUGAACGCUAGCGGCAGGCCUAAUACAUGCAAGUCGAGCGGCAAGUCGAGGAGUAAUCUAAGACCUAGAGCGGCGCACGGGUGCGUAACGCGUAUGCAACCUACCUUAUACUGGGGGAUAGCCCGGAGAAAUCUGGAUUAAUACCCCAUGGUACAUAUUUAGGGCAUCUGAGAUAUGUUAAAGAUUUAUUGGUAUAAGAUGGGCAUGCGUCCGAUUAGCUAGUUGGCGGUGUAACGGACCACCAAGGCGACGAUCAGUAGGGGUUCUGAGAGGAAGGUCCCCCACACUGGCACUGAGAUACGGGCCAGACUCCUACGGGAGGCAGCAGUAGGGAAUAUUGGGCGAUGGUCGGAAGACUGACCCAGCCAUGCCGCGUGCAGGAAGAAGGCCCUCUGGGUUGUAAACUGCUUUUAUCUGGGAAGAAAAAGGCCAUGCGUGGCAAAUUGCCGGUACCAGAUGAAUAAGCACCGGCUAACUCCGUGCCAGCCGCCGCGGUAAGAC